UUCUUCAAUUUUCUUUCCAUUUUGCAGAUGAUCGUUUCAUCACUUAUUGGGGUGUUUGCUUUACUGGACUGUGUAUGAAAUUUUAAGUAAUUAGUUUGUUCGUCUUUGAUAAUGACCUUGAGUUAACCAAUUUGUUAAUUCUUUUGACUGGCCAUGGCGUAGAGCUUAGUUUCUUUUAUUAAUGUCUGAAUUGAUGAAGAACAAGGUGUGUUUUUGAGGUUUUCGGCAAAAGCCCUAAUUUCAAAUUUGGGUAUAAUGAGCUACUCAAACCAAACUUUCCACCUUAGUUAUUCCACCGAGCGUAACUCAAAGGCGUCGCAAUUCAAUUUGAUUAGAUUUUCAUGGAGCAUGAUUUUAGUUCAAACUUGGGUUUUAAUCUCAAUUUGGAUUUGGGAAGUUUUCUGUUGAGAUUUCUUAGUGGGUAUCUACCAGAACCAAGGAGAAAGAAAAGGAAGCUUCACUUUAUCUCCUCAAACUCAAGAACAGAUUCUUUUUUUUAGUCGGGGUGAAUGAUGAGCAUGAUUAUAAGAUAAUUAGUAUUUUAGUUAAUAUUUAGAUUAAAUAACCACUUUAGGUUUUUAGUAGAAUGCUUUGGACUAUCUUCUUUCAAUAUAGAGCAUUGUUUUUAGAGAGUGUUCUCUCAUCUCAGGGAUGGAUUUUCCUUCUUUGGCCAUACAUUUUGCUUGGUACCCUUUUCUGCUAUAUCAAUAUUAGGAAGUGUUUAGGGUGCGGACUUGUUAUAGUUCGUUGUUAUCAUUGUGUUUUAGUUGCAGAGUGAUUUAGUUCGGAAAGGAAAUGGUGAUUAAGCACAGUGACAGAGGGAAAUAGAGGAUGGGUAAGAAAUAGUAAACACAGUAACAAAUAGGAAAUAGUGCAACAAAAAGGUUUUGAAAUAGUAAUACAACAUGUUGUUAGGGGAAGCCGACCCUUUGAUGGUUGAGCAAAAAUCGUUUUAGUUAAUUGUUGGAUAUAAUAUUACUGUUGAAGUCCCAAACAUGGAGUGAGCUAUGAUAACUUACUCCAAUGGGCUGGAGUUGGUGGCCCAAAUGCCGCUCUAAUAUAUAACAUCUAUUGUAUCAAAGAAUGAACAGUGAAGCAACAAUGCAAAUCUGUGAAGUUGAUAUUCCUGUAUAACAAUGAAUUCAAGAAACCCUUUGUAAGGUCCAUCUAUAGGUGGGUUGUAUAUUGGUUCCCUAGGUCUCUAUGAGACCCAUAGAAAGAAUAAAAAUACAUGUUAGUUAUAUUAUUAGGAUUUAGUAGCCAUCCUUUCUUCAUUCUUCAAGGUUGCACCCAAGACGACAAACUCACGCCUCACCUCAGGACUCUCACCCUAUCUCAUUCUGGAUCGUCUCUGACCACAACACUCUUAGAUCCAAUUGUCUCUGCUCCUACCAAGUCACUCCCUCUUCUCUCACUCUCGCGGCCGGCCCUUCAAUUUUAGUGAGUGAUCUUUUGUUUCUGGCCAUGCCACUCUCUCUCUCAGCCUUCAACUCCAAUUUCAGUUUUUUGAUAUUUUUAUUAUUACUUAUACAGGGAUUUGUUCCCCAAAAUUUGUUUCUCUAUUUCAAUUUAUCACCAAUCUCUUCCCUAUCCCCAUUUUCUCACACUCUGUAUAAAGUCAUGUAAUAAUUUUUUUUUCUAAUGUAAUUUGGCAAAAUGGAUUGAUUAGUAAAUGAAACCAUAUGAACAUAUACUCAGUGGUAUUCUUGCAGAUGUCACCUCCUAUCCUAUUUUUAUAUUUCACUAUAGGGGUGUUAAAAAAAUCCGUGAUCCGAUCAACCUUGAUUAUCCAAACAAAACCGUGGGUUGGGUUAAAUUUUGGGUUGAAUUAGAAAAGUGAAAAAAAUAAAAUAAAAUGAGCCGGGUCGCCGAGUUGGGCUAACAGGGAUUGGGUUGACCCAACUCUUAUGUUAUAUAUUAUAUAUAUUUAUAUAACCUAAACCUUAAAAACCCAAAAGCCGCUUGUUUAUUUUGUCGUCUCUUCAACCUUCCGCAAUCCCAAUCCGCUCGACGCUCGACAUCAAUCCCAACCGUUCACCCUCGCCUUCAACCUCUUGCCGCCCCCCUCCCUCUUUCAAUACUCGUUGUUUUCCUUCGUCCAACGGACACCCCCUCCCUCUUUCUUUUGUUUUUUUGCCGCCGGCCGCCACUCUCUUUCAUUUUGUUAUUUUGCCGUCGGCCCCCCACUCCCUCUUUCAAGAAACAUAUAUUAUAUAAUUUUACUUGGAGCAGGAUAUGGCUAUAAGAUUGACUGAACAUUUGUAGUCGAGAGAUUGAUAUGCAAAGGAGUGAACAUUUGUGUUUGAGAGAUUGAUAUACAAAGGAGUGAACAUUUUGUAUUUUAAUUUUUCUUUCUAUUCUUUUAGAAGCCAAAAAGGUAUUAUUUGAUUUGUAGUAAAGUGGGCCUUUGACUGAAUCUAAUCAAUUCUUGUAUUUCUUAGUUA